rnacentral:tRNA from 16 species
UAGGUGGUUUAGUGGUUAUAACGCUAUGCUUGCACACCGGUGGUCGUGGGACCAA